UUAAAUUGAAGAGUUUGAUCAUGGCUCAGAUUGAACGCUGGCGGCAGGCCUAACACAUGCAAGUCGAACGGUAACAGGAAGCAGCUUGCUGCUUUGCUGACGAGUGGCGGACGGGUGAGUAAUGUCUGGGAAACUGCCUGAUGGAGGGGGAUAACUACUGGAAACGGUGGCUAAUACCGCAUAAUGUCGCAAGACCAAAGAGGGGGACCUUCGGGCCUCUUGCCAUCAGAUGUGCCCAGAUGGGAUUAGCUUGUUGGUGAGGUAACGGCUCACCAAGGCGACGAUCCCUAGCUGGUCUGAGAGGAUGACCAGCCACACUGGAACUGAGACACGGUCCAGACUCCUACGGGAGGCAGCAGUGGGGAAUAUUGCACAAUGGGCGCAAGCCUGAUGCAGCCAUGCCGCGUGUAUGAAGAAGGCCUUCGGGUUGUAAAGUACUUUCAGCGGGGAGGAAGGUGUUGUGGUUAAUAACCGCAGCAAUUGACGUUACCCGCAGAAGAAGCACCGGCUAACUCCGUGCCAGCAGCCGCGGUAAUACGGAGGGUGCAAGCGUUAAUCGGAAUUACUGGGCGUAAAGCGCACGCAGGCGGUCUGUCAAGUCGGAUGUGAAAUCCCCGGGCUCAACCUGGGAACUGCAUUCGAAACUGGCAGGCUUGAGUCUUGUAGAGGGGGGUAGAAUUCCAGGUGUAGCGGUGAAAUGCGUAGAGAUCUGGAGGAAUACCGGUGGCGAAGGCGGCCCCCUGGACAAAGACUGACGCUCAGGUGCGAAAGCGUGGGGAGCAAACAGGAUUAGAUACCCUGGUAGUCCACGCCGUAAACGAUGUCUACUUGGAGGUUGUGCCCUUGAGGCGUGGCUUCCGGAGCUAACGCGUUAAGUAGACCGCCUGGGGAGUACGGCCGCAAGGUUAAAACUCAAAUGAAUUGACGGGGGCCCGCACAAGCGGUGGAGCAUGUGGUUUAAUUCGAUGCAACGCGAAGAACCUUACCUGGUCUUGACAUCCACAGAACUUUCCAGAGAUGGAUUGGUGCCUUCGGGAACUGUGAGACAGGUGCUGCAUGGCUGUCGUCAGCUCGUGUUGUGAAAUGUUGGGUUAAGUCCCGCAACGAGCGCAACCCUUAUCCUUUGUUGCCAGCGGUCCGGCCGGGAACUCAAAGGAGACUGCCAGUGAUAAACUGGAGGAAGGUGGGGAUGACGUCAAGUCAUCAUGGCCCUUACGACCAGGGCUACACACGUGCUACAAUGGCGCAUACAAAGAGAAGCGACCUCGCGAGAGCAAGCGGACCUCAUAAAGUGCGUCGUAGUCCGGAUUGGAGUCUGCAACUCGACUCCAUGAAGUCGGAAUCGCUAGUAAUCGUGGAUCAGAAUGCCACGGUGAAUACGUUCCCGGGCCUUGUACACACCGCCCGUCACACCAUGGGAGUGGGUUGCAAAAGAAGUAGGUAGCUUAACCUUCGGGAGGGCGCUUACCACUUUGUGAUUCAUGACUGGGGUGAAGUCGUAACAAGGUAACCGUAGGGGAACCUGCGGUUGGAUCACCUCCUUACCUGAAAGAAGC
rnacentral:rRNA from 2 species